UAGGGAAUCUUCCCCAAUGGGCGAAAGCCUGAUGGAGCAACGCCGCGUGUGUGAUGAAGGCUUUAGGGUCGUAAGCACUGUUGUAUGGGAAGAAAUGCUAGAAUAGGGAAUGAUUCUAGUUCGACGGUACCAUACCAGAAAGGGACGGCUAAAUACGUGCCAG
rnacentral:rRNA from 1 species